GAUGAACGCUGGCGGCGUGCUUAACACAUGCAAGUCGAACGGAAAGGCCCAAGCUUGCUUGGGUACUCGAGUGGCGAACGGGUGAGUAACACGUGGGUGAUCUGCCCUGCACUUCGGGAUAAGCCUGGGAAACUGGGUCUAAUACCGGAUAGGACCACAUUUUGGAUGGUGUGGUGGAAAGUUUUUCGGUGUGGGAUGAGCUCGCGGCCUAUCAGCCUGUUGGUGGGGUAAUGGCCUACCAAGGCGUCGACGGGUAGCCGGCCUGAGAGGGUGUACGGCCACAUUGGGACUGAGAUACGGUCCAGACCCCUACGGGAGGCAGCAGUGGGGAAUAUUGCACAAUGGGCGCAAGCCUGAUGCAGCGACGCCGCGUGGGGGAUGACGGCCUUCGGGUUGUAAACUCCUUUCGCUAGGGACGAAGCGUUAUGUGACGGUACCUGGAGAAGAAGCACCGGCUAACUACGUG
rnacentral:rRNA from 1 species